AAGUGGGGAUGACGUCAAGUCCUCAUGGCCUUUAUGUCCAGGGCUACACACGUGCUACAAUGGGUUGUACAAAGAGAAGCAACCUCGCGAGGGUGAGCAAAUCUCAAAAAGCCGUUCUCAGUUCGGAUUGAAGUCUGCAACUCGACUUCAUGAAGUCGGAAUCGCUAGUAAUCGCGGAUCAGCAUGCCGCGGUGAAUACGUUCCCGGGCCUU
rnacentral:rRNA from 1 species